AUGUCAUCAACCGCAGAACCAACAUUGAAGCUAAACACUGGUGCAUCCAUUCCUCAAAUUGGAUUGGGUACAUGGCAAUCACCUGACCAAGAGGCUUACAACGCCGUUGUCACUGCCUUGAAAAACGGGUACAGACACAUCGACACUGCUGCUAUCUACGGCAACGAAGAGGCUGUUGGUAGAGGUAUCAGAGACUCUGGUGUUCCUAGGGAAGAAAUCUUUGUUACCACUAAGUUGUGGGGUACUCAACAAAGGAACCCUGAAGCUGCUUUGGACGACUCCUUGAAGAGACUUGGAUUGGAUUAUGUGGACUUGUACUUGAUUCACUGGCCAGUGGCUUUGAAAACUGAUUCCAUUAAGGACGGUAAUGUGUUCACUUUCCCAAGAACUGCAGAUGGUAAGAUUGAUGUCGACAUUGAAGACUGGGACUUCACUAAGACAUGGGAAAAGAUGCAACACUUACCAAAGACCGGUAAGACAAAGGCUAUUGGUGUUUCGAAUUUCUCAAUCAAGAACAUCGAAGCCCUUUUCAAGGCAAAUCCAAACACUAUAGUCCCUGCUGCUAACCAAGUGGAAACCCACCCUCAAUUGGACCAACAAGAGUUGCUUGAUUACUGCAAGUCCAAGGGUAUCUUGCUAGAAGCCUACUCCCCAUUGGGUUCUUCUAACUCUCUACUUCUCACCGACCCAACUAUCAAGAAAAUCGCUGAAAAGCAUAACGUCGAACCAGCAAACAUUCUCAUCAACUGGGGUCUAUCUCGUGGUUACGUCGUCUUGCCAAAGUCCGUGAAUCCCGAAAGAGUUAAGAACAACAAGAAGAUUAUCGACUUGCCUGCAGAAGAUAUCGAGACGAUUAACAGUUUAGCUACUAAAAUCGGCUCAAAGAGAUACGUUAGCCCUGAUUUUACUCCUUUCAAAAUCUUCGAGUAA
rnacentral:tRNA from 1 species